rnacentral:rRNA from 1 species
UACACUCCUACGGGAGGCAGCAGUGAGGAAUAUUGGACAAUGGGUGGAAGCCUGAUCCAGCCAUCCCGCGUGCAGGAAGACGGCCCUAUGGGUUGUAAACUGCUUUUAUCUGGGGAUAAACCUACUUACGUGUAAGUAGCUGAAGGUACCAGAAGAAUAAGCACCGGCUAACUCCGUGCCAGCAGCCGCGGUAAUACGGAGGGUGCAAGCGUUAUCCGGAUUUAUUGGGUUUAAAGGGUCCGUAGGCGGACUGAUAAGUCAGUGGUGAAAUCCGACAGCUUAACUGUCGAACUGCCAUUGAUACUGUUAGUCUUGAGUAAGGUUGAAGUGGCUGGAAUAAGUAGUGUAGCGGUGAAAUGCAUAGAUAUUACUUAGAACACCAAUUGCGAAGGCAGGUCACUAAGUCUUAACUGACGCUGAUGGACGAAAGCGUGGGGAGCGAACAGGAUUAGAAACCCCAGUAGUCCC